rnacentral:rRNA from 1 species
UGGGGGAUAUUGCACAAUGGGCGAAAGCCUGAUGCAGCGACGCCGUGUGGGGGAUGAAGGCCUUCGGGUUGUAAACUUCUUUUGCUCUGAACAAGGCAUGCUAAUGGGUGUGUUGAGUGUAGGGGUUGAUUAGCGCCGGCUAACUACGUGCCAGCAGCCGCGGUAAUACGUAGGGGGCGAGCGUUGUCCGGAAUUAUUGGGCGUAAAGGGCUUGUAGGUGGCUGGUUGCGUCUGUCGUGAAAGCUCAUGGCUUAACUGUGGGUUUGCGGUGGGUACGGGCUGGCUUGAGUGCAGUAGGGGAGGCUGGAAUUCCUGGUGUAGCGGUGGAAUGCGCAGAUAUCAGGAGGGAUACCGGUGGCGAAGGCGGGUCUCUGGGCUGUUACUGACACUGAGGAGCGAAAGCAUGGGGAGCGAACAGG